GACGAACGCUGGCGGCGUGCCUAAUACAUGCAAGUCGAGCGGAAUGAUGAAGAAGCUUGCUUCUUCUGAUUUUAGCGGCGGACGGGUGAGUAACACGUGGGCAACCUACCUUGUAGAUUGGGAUAACUCCGGGAAACCGGGGCUAAUACCGAAUAAUCCAUUUUGCUUCAUGGCGAGAUGUUGAAAGACGGUUUCGGCUGUCACUAUAAGAUGGGCCCGCGGCGCAUUAGCUAGUUGGUAGGGUAAUGGCCUACCAAGGCGACGAUGCGUAGCCGACCUGAGAGGGUGAUCGGCCACACUGGGACUGAGACACGGCCCAGACUCCUACGGGAGGCAGCAGUAGGGAAUCUUCCACAAUGGACGAAAGUCUGAUGGAGCAACGCCGCGUGAGUGAAGAAGGUUUUCGGAUCGUAAAACUCUGUUGUAAGGGAAGAACGCGUACGAGAGUAACUGCUCGUACCUUGACGGUACCUUAUUAGAAAGCCACGGCUAACUACGUG
rnacentral:rRNA from 1 species